rnacentral:rRNA from 1 species
UACGGAGGGUGCUAGCGUUGUUCGGAAUCACUGGGCGUAAAGCGCGUGUAGGCGGCCCACUAAGUCUGAUGUGAAAGCCCGGGGCUCACCCCCGGAAGUGCAUUGGAAACUGGUGGACUCGAGUCCCGGAGAGGAGGGCGGAAUUCCUGGUGUAGCGGUGAAAUGCGUAGAUAUCAGGAGGAACAUCGAUGGCGAAGGCAAUCACCUGGGCCUGAACUGACACUGUGACACGAAAGCGUGGGUAGCAAACAGG